GAAAUGCGAUAAGUAAUGUGAAUUGCAGAAUUCAGUGAAUCAUCGAAUCUUUGAACGCACCUUGCGCUCCUUGGUAUUCCGAGGAGCAUGCCUGUUUGAGUGUCAUGGAAUUCUCAACUCUAUUUGCUUUUGUGAAUAGAGCUUGGAUUUGGAGGUUUAUUGCUGGUACUUGUGAUCGGCUCCUCUUGAAUGCAUUAGCUCGAACCUUUGCGGAUCAGCUAUCGGUGUGAUAAUUGUCUACGCCGUUGCAGUGAAGCAUAUCAAUGGGCUCGGCUUCCAAUCGUCCUUUACUGGAUAAUGACUUUGACCUUUGACCUCAAAUCAGGUAGGAUUACCCGCUGAACUUAAGC
rnacentral:misc_RNA from 1 species